rnacentral:rRNA from 1 species
GACGAACGCUAGCGGCGUGCUUAACACAUGCAAGUCGAACGAGUGGAGAACGGGUGAGUAAGCCGUGGGUAACCUGCCCUCCUUUUUGGGAUAAGCCUUGGAAACGGGGUCUAAUAUCGAACAAAGGGGGAGGGGCUCGCGGCCUAUCAGCAGGCUGGUGGGGUGUUGGCUACCAAGGCGUGACGGGUAGCCGGCCUGAGAGGGUGACCGGCCACAUUGGGACUGAGAUACGGCCCAGACUCCGACUGGAGGCAUCGGUGGGGAAUAGUGCACAAUGGGCGGAAGCCGUAUGCAGCGACGCCGGGUGGGUGAUGAAGGCCUUCGGGUUGUAAACUCCUGUCGACAGGGACGCGGUACCUGUAUAGGAAGCACCGGCUAACUACGUGCCAGCAGCCGCGGUAAUUC